rnacentral:rRNA from 1 species
UACGGGGGAUGCAAGCGUUAUCCGGAUUUAUUGGGUUUAAAGGGUGCGUAUGCUGUGAGGUAAGUCAGCGGUGAAAUGCCCCCGCUCAACGGGGUGAAGUGCCAUUGAUACUGCCUUGCUGGAAUGCGGAUGCCGUGGGAGGAAUGUGUGGUGUAGCGGUGAAAUGCAUAGAUAUCACACAGAACACCGAUUGCGAAGGCAUCUCACGAAUCCGCGAUUGACGCUGAUGCACGAAAGCGUGGGUAUCAAACAGG